rnacentral:ncRNA from 1 species
GAAGGAAGGCCCUUCGGGAGGGAUUGAACAGGCAAAUCUACUAAACAACCUUAAUGUUGCUAUGAUAAAGAGUCAUGGUGAGAAGCGAUUAAGGAAAAGGCUGUAAGAAACAGUCAUG